AUGACCGCGGCAUACGGGUUGACUCGAUGCGGGUACACGGGGAGAUCCCGAUCGGGGAGGGGACGUAGGUGCGGUUUCCCUGUCACGUUGUUUUGGUCGGCAGGGGAUUGGGUCCCGAGGCGGAGGCGCGGCGUGAUGCGUAGAUCGAGGCGGAGGAGGAGAGGGAACGUCGGGAAGGGAGGCGGAUUAAAGCUGCGGCACGGUGCGGAGCGGCCAUUCCCUCCCCUCUCGACGAAACCCACCUCCCUUCUCUCCCACGAGCAAGCUCUCCGAAGGCGGGCGGUCAUGGAUUCCUGGAAGCAGAGACUCGAGAGGAGGGCUCUGGUAAUAGCCAACGGCGACGAAGAGAAGCUAGCGAAGCUGAGGGAGAUCAUCUCCAGGUUCUCGACGGAGAGCAAUCUAAAGGAGGCGGCGGGGUGUGCCUACCGGAGGCUCACCGAGGCGGAGGACUGGCGCCUCACUCCGUCAGGCGAGCCGGUGGGGGCGCUCCGGAUGCUGCUGUGGGCGAUGGAGGAGGCGGAAUCAGACGAUCCGAUGUAG
rnacentral:rRNA from 1 species